rnacentral:lncRNA from 1 species
GUACAGUUACAUUCAUUACUGGGAUUUUGUAUCUUUAUACACCAGGUUAAACAUUUUUCUGAGAAAGGGUUCAUACACUUUACAAGAGACCCAAAGAGAUCCACUCUCAGAAGUUCUGGAAUCUACACCCUGAAGCCUUCUCCAUCAGUCUCUGCACCUGCCCAUCUACCUGUACAGUUACCGACUGCUGGUCAGGUAUUGUGAACUGUGUAUCUCAGGGAAUCCUGAGAGCUGAAUAACAGCUCCUCACCUCACAGCUGAGGAGAGGGGAAGGCCGACCAUUUAAUACCCUGUGACAAAUGCAGUGUUAUAACUUUACACGGGAACCAUGACGGCCAAGAGGAGGGGCAUCUUUCCCAAACCAGGGGCUGGGAAAGGCCUCCUGGAUACCUGGAGCCAAGUUUAAAGGAUAAGUAGAGCUGAGUCAGGCAGAGAAAUGCCAUAACCUGUGAUGCCACAAGCCACGGUGCACUCCUCUGGAGACAUGUGAGUGUCACGUGUUUCCUCUAAGGAAGAGAAGUAACCACCCAAUACUGAAGCACAGCAAAGAAACACAACUGGCCACAACUGUCCGAUACAGGGUGCAAAGACUCUUGGCCUCCAAAAGAAGAAAAUCAGCUUAAUAGAUUUUUUUCAGAAUUCAAAAGCCCCCUCUGAAAACAUAAGAGCUGAAAGAUUCAGGAAAUUCAGUAACAGCCACAUUACACUGGAGAGUUGGGAAGUGGAUGACUUCCUAUCAGGGCCUGCUGCAGGAGGACAGAAGCUGGUCACUCUGGCUGCAAUGAAAGAGACAGUCCACCCUGGAGAUGAAGACAUGGACGAGGCACAGGACAAAGGUACUGGCAUCCAGAAUAUAUUUUAAAGUGUCUACAAAUCAGUAACAAAAAGACAUAGAGCCAAACCUUAAAAUAGAGUUGGAAUUUCAGAAGUUGGUCAAAUUAUGAAAAGGUUUUCAACCUUGGGAAAAGGCACUCAACCUCAUUUGUUAUCAUGGACAUGUAAAUUUAAAUAUCUGAAACUUUUCCAGUGUGAUAUGUGCUAGAGUGCCAACUGGGAUCACAGAUAAACUGACAGCAACAAGAAAUGGUCAGUUCUUUAUUUCUGUGCUUGUUCCCUUUAUAGAGGAAAAG